UUUUAGCCCUGAUUGCAGCGGCAUCCUUUUGCUCAGCAAAAGAUAUAGCGGAAAGCAGGUUCCCGG
rnacentral:sRNA from 1 species